rnacentral:rRNA from 1 species
GCAUAUCAAUAAGCGGAGGAAAAGAAACCCAACAGGGAUUGCCCUAGUAACGGCGAGUGAAGCGGCAACAGCUCAAAUUUGAAAUCUGGCUCUUUUAGAGUCCGAGUUGUAAUUUGCAGAGGGCGCUUUGGCGUUGGCAGCGGUCCAAGUUCUUUGGAACAGGACGUCACAGAGGGUGAGAAUCCCGUACGUGGUCGCUAGCCUUCGCCGUGUAAAGCCCCUUCGACGAGUCGAGUUGUUUGGGAAUGCAGCUCUAAAUGGGAGGUAAAUUUCUUCUAAAGCUAAAUACUGGCCAGAGACCGAUAGCGCACAAGUAGAGUGAUCGAAAGAUGAAAAGCACUUUGGAAAGAGAGUCAAAUAGCACGUGAAAUUGUUGAAAGGGAAGCGCUUGCAGCCAGACUUGCCUGUAGUUGCUUAUCCGGACUUUUGUCCGGUGCACUCUUCUGCGGGCAGGCCAGCAUCAGUUUAGGCGGUUGGAUAAAGGUCUCUAUCACGUACCUCCCUUCGGGGUUGGCCUUAUAGGGGAGACGACAUGCAACCAGCCUGAACUGAGGUCCGCGCAUCUGCUAGGAUGCUGGCGUAAUGGCUGUAAGCGGCCCGUCUUGAAACACGGACCAAGGAGUCUAACAUCUAUGCGAGUGUUUGGGUGUCAAGCCCAGACGCGUAAUGAAAGUGAACGGAGGUGGGAACCUUUUAGGUGCACCAUCGACCGAUCCUGAUGUCUUCGGAUGGAUUUGAGUAAGAGCAUGGCUGUUGGGACCCGAAAGAUGGUGAACUAUGCUUGAAUAGGGUGAAGCCAGAGGAAACUCUGGUGGAGGCUCGCAGCGGUUCUGACGUGCAAAUCGAUCGUCAAAUUUGGGCAUAGGGCGAAAGACUAAUCGA